rnacentral:lncRNA from 7 species
AGAAAAAACCAUCAAAGGGGAAAGGAGCAGCCCCUGAGCUCCCAUCCCCGCAGGUGCAUCCUUUGCAGUGCAUGCCCAUGGGAUGUGCUCAUCCCUCAGCCUGGCAGCUUCCUCCAGGAGCCAGCACUGCUGCCGUGCCCAAAGCCGGAUGAGGAUUUCUUUGCCUUUAAUUGAAAGGUAGCAUCUUUCUGCAGAGGAAAUUCAGGGAGAACGACUGAGCAGGACAGGGUCCUAAGGAAAAGAUGGAGAAUCUCUGCUGCCUCCAGCGCACUCAAAUUUAGGCCUCCUCUCCCAGCAUGUGGAAAAGGCGUGGGCUUUGGGCCAGAGGAGGACCUGGGAUGUGAUGGCAGAAGGCAGAGGUGAGCACCAGAGCUGGGAUGUUUCAGCCCCCCUGCACCCCGGCGUGCCCCCCACCUCCUGCUCCCCUCACACCCACCCCCAUACAAGGCACAGAUCCUCCCUAUACUCCGAAACGGAUGCCCUUUCUGAAAAACAGAUCCUCUUUCCGAGCUGGGAAUGCUCCUUUCCAAACCAGCCAGGAAGGAAGGGAGAGGAAUCUGUGAGCACAGCCGAAGUUUGUGAAGCAGGGACUGCUGGAGGAGCUCGCUGUACAACUCAAUUUGCACGAUGUCUGAGCACUCCUCUUUCAAAAGUCAGCCCAAGCAGAUCGUUCCAGAUUCCCCUUGCCAGAAUCCUUGGGAUGGGUCCAAGGGAAUGAUCUUGUCUGCUGCAGGUGAGUGCUGCUGUGCUGCUCUGGCCAUGGCAGAAUUUGGCUCUUUGAUUCCUCCGAUCGUUUCCAGGGAUAUUAUCCAGCCAUUCUGGAAAACCUGACACUUGACAAACGACACUUCUGCAAGGUCAUCCUUAAACCUUUGAGGAACAGGGAGCUUUUUCAGCUGCCCCUGCCCUUCCCUGAAUGCCGGCAGCCAAGCCCAUAUGGAGCAUUGUGGGCUGAGCUCGUUGUUGAUGCAAAUGCAUACGACUAGUUUUGAUUAAAAGCAAAAUGCAGAAU